UCUCAGGUAAAAGAACAGCUUGAAAGAUCCACACUGAGACUUGAAGAAUUGAAAAACGAGCGCCAACAACUAAUGGACUCCAUGCUAAUACGUGAGCUGCAGUCCUAUGCAGAUGAGGACUAUAAAAUCAGAGUUUGUGUCUGCAGAUUAUGGCGAGGAAAGAGGAUAAACCCAUAACGAAAUGAUGGACUGCAUUGCGUAUUGGUUGAUGAAAGGGGCGAUGCAAUUCAUGGCAUAACAAGUAAAGCAAAUUAUUCAUCAGUCUCUGGAAAACUGAAACAAGGAGAGAUAUACCUGAUCUCCGAUUUCUAUGUACGAGAUAGUCAAGACGAUUAUAAAGUUAUGGACAACUCAAUCCAAGCUCAUUUCAAUGGGAAAACAAAAUUCAAGCUCUUGCACAACAGCUUUCCACAGAUUCCACAACAUUGAUUCUAUCUACUAGAUUACAAUCAGCUGAAAAACCGCAUUGACAAAACUAAACUUCUCACAGAUCUCUUUGGCUGUGUGAAAUCAAUCAUGCCAGUUGAAGAAGUUAAUACCAGAGAUGGAAUAGAAUCAAAAUGUGAAAUUAAACUCCAAAACUUAAGAAGAGAAGAAACCAGAGUGACAUUAUGGGGAGAUAGUGCUAGAAAAGUUGACAUAGACACUAUUGAAAGUCUACCUCCACCUGUGCUUAUGGUCAUAACCAGUUUGAAAGUCAAGAAGUACAAAGAAAUGCCUGCACCAUCAAACACCAGUCAUACUUGCAUUUUCAUCAAUCCAGAAAUCCCACAGGCAGAACCCUACAAAAUCGAGUUCUCCAAGGCCACAGAUAACAUCAAAAAACUGUCCGCUCCAUCCAAACAAUUAACAGCAGCAGAAGCAGAAAAAGAAGAUAAAACCACAGUGCAUCAAUACCUUUACCACUUCUGCACCUUCAGUUUAUAGUCUUUUCAAUGCACAGAUUACAUGUCAUGUUUCGUUGAACCAAUGAAAAUGCAAUUUUAUAGAAUCCAUGCCACCAUUGAAGAUCCAAACAGUGAGGCCACAGUCAAGCUUAGAGGAAAAGCAGCUGAACAAUUGUUUGGAAUAACUUGCAAAGAACUCAUAGACAAGUACCCUUAUGCUCCACAGGAAACAUUACCACAGGAAAUAUUGCAAACACAGGGGCAGAUCCACAUUUUCCAAUCAGUGAGGCAAAUGACUUCAUAGUGAAAGGUAUCUUUCCAAGCACAAAGAACCAACCAAGUGCCAGCACACCAGCCCAUCCCCUGUAUCAGACAAAAAGAUCCAUCAACAAAGGAAGAAGACAAAAAGCCCCGCAGGAAGCACUGAAUCAGCAACAUCAUCAACAAACACUGUGAACAAGGAAAAAAUGGACUGAAAUAUCAUAUCACUGUUUCGUGUAAAUAGAAAUGGAGGCAGAAACUUUUGGACAACCUCCACAAGGAAUCAUCACUAGGCUAACAACCUCUCAGCAGCUUACAUAACUUUUGAUAUAACCACUAAGUUAGCCUAUAAGUAGAUCAUUGUAUUUUGAACAAGCUGUGUUUAACAGCAUUUGUAUUUAGCUUCUGUUUGAACAAUCUAUUUUUGAGAAGCUGUAGCUGUUGUAUGUAUAUAUAUAUGAACUAAAAUUCGUAUCUUUCAAAACUUCUACAAUCCGUUCCAAAACCCGCAGCAACGCGCGGGCGUAUAUGCUAGUUUACUAUAUACUAAAUUUCAGUUAACUGUUCAUCGGCUUAGUAACAGGAGCCGAGCCGACAUUGUGAAAUUACGGUUUUGCCCUCCAUUCUUUGCUUAAUUUCGGUUUGCUGUUUCGCCUGGGUAUAAAAUGCGUUGAGGUGAUAGAAGCGACCCUUUUCCCCUUUCUUCGUUCUUGGCUGAUCUCUGUUGUUGAUAGAGUGAAAGAGAGGGAGAGAAUAGAGAAUAGGAGUUCAUGUUAGCAACGAGAGGGAAGACGAAGAUUGGAAUUAGAUCGAGGAAAGCAGGAGAGUACUUUCUUUGGCGAUUUUGGGUUUGUUGGAAACUCAGGAGGUGUUGGGUUCUUCGCAUGUAGAGGCUUUGUUGGAUGCUUUACAGAGUAUACGAUAUUGGAGGAGAGGGGCUCUUGCUUGCUUGAAAGAAGGAGAGGGAAAGGAGAGGGGCUGUUGCUUGGUUGAAAGAAAAGAGGUGGAAGUAACAUGAUAUUGUCUGCAUUUGCUACGGAUUUAAAUGGAUGGGAAUGGGAGGUGGCAGUGUUGUUUUUUCCUCUAAUUUUUGGACUGUUGUUCUUUGUUUACUUCCCUUGAUGAAUAGUGUUGGCUAAAGGGAGUGAUUACAUAACCUAGAUAUUGUGCUUUUUAGUUUAUUUGAAGGGUCUGGGAAAGAUGAUAAUUAUAAUUUUGGAAUGGAGAUUGAAGAUGGCUGGUGGUACGAGGGAUGCCCACAAUGCUACAAACAACUGACAGUGAAGAAAAAUAGUGACCUGCGAGUCUGUCUGGACCACACAGCAUGCAAAUAUCUCUUCCAUGUUAUAGAGUCCAUGCCACCAUUGAAGAUCCAAACAGUGAAGCCACAAUGAAGCUUAGAGGAAAACCAGCUGAACAAUUGUUUGGAAUAACUUGCAGAGACCUCAUAGACAGGUACCCUUAUGCUCCACAGGAAACAUUACCCCAGGAAAUAUUGCAAACAAAAGGGCAAUUUCACAUUUUCCAAAUCCAAAUCAAUGACGCAAAUGACUUCAUAGUGAAAGGUAUCUUUCCAAGCACAAAGAAUCAACCAAGUGCCAGCACACCAGCUCAUCCAAUGUAUGACAAAAAAAGAUCCGUCCAUAAAGGAAGAAGACAACUAUUUGCUACCAAUCCAAACAAAAAGGCCCGCAGGGAAGGAAGCACUGAAUCAGCAACAUCAUCCACAAACACUCUGAACAAGGAAAAAAAUAUCAUGUCACUAUUUGUGUAAAUAGAAAUGGAGGCAGCAACUUUUUGGACAACCUCCACAGCUAAUCAUCGUUAGGCUACCAAGCUCUCAGUAACUGAUGUUACUUUUGAUAUAGUCACUAGGUUAGCCUAUAAGUAGUCACUGUAUUUUGGAGAAGUUGUUUUAACAGCAUUUGUAAUAUAUAUUUCAACAUUACCAGAACAUCUAUAUUAAUGGUAAUGUUAGCUCCUGAUAUGGAACAUCUAUAUUCAUGGUAAUGUUAGCUACUGUUUUAACAGCAGUUGUAUUAUAUAUAUGAACUAAAUUUUCUGUCUUUCAAAA